UAGGUAUCAUCAAUUCGCGAAAAUUCGACAGUUGUCCGGAUCUGUGAAUUUCCGGCCAGACAGACCAGCUACCGGAAAAGUCUCCGAAUUGGAUCGAGGUUUUGGCUACCCCACCAUUGUCAUGCAUCCCGAGCGCGUUCCCGAAGUCGGAAUCGGCAAAGGUGAGCCAGGACAGCCUUCUUCCUCCGCCCAGCCGCCUCAGUGACCAUCGUCAAGUCUGUGAGUAGAAUAUUAAUUUUAAUUGUAAUUUCGAUAUUAUUAUAUGUUCAAGCAUGCCCAUGCAUCACUUAUAUGCAUAUAUUUAUGUAGUUAAACUCUAGGCACGAUUUAUGUUGCAUUCAUAACUGUUGAUGUGCCAUGGAUGUUGUUGUGGUAAUUUGGAGCAGUGUGCGUGCGUUGGCGUGCGUGUGAUGUGGUGUGGACUAUGGAUAGGACGGGGUAGUCACGGCUUGAGUAAUUCGCUGGGACCCUCGAUUUGGUUAUUAAGUGGAAGU